AACGCAGGCCUCCUGCCCUUUGACCUCAAAGUGGUUCCACUGCGCCUGCGCGAGCCGAUCUCUGACAAAAGUUGCUGGAGUUUUGAGAGAGGAGCUAAAGUAAUUAGCAUUCCCUGUAAAUUGUUCUUUUCUCUUUCUGAAUAACAAAAGUUUGCCUUUUCCCUUUGACAGUUUGAGCUGGAAAGGCCCCAUUUUUGACCUGGGACCUCGGCCUUAAAUGUUGAUUUUUUUUAUUGUUGUUUGUUUUUUUUAAAUGUAACGUCUUCUUCGAAAUCCCCUUUAAUGACCCAGCUUAGUUGCGGAGCGUUCCGAGGAGGAAAGGAAAAUAGUCUGAAUGUAGUCUGGGGUAAGGAAGAUGAACUCAAAGGAAUAUCGUAUCUCACUGGGGGAAAUGGUUCUGCCUUAAUACUGGGAAAAUUGUGUCCUCUAUGAAGAAACUUAGAAGUCUGCCACCUUGUAUGGAAACUUUAGAUAUUUAAAGAGAUUUGUGAUUUCAUCAAUAUGAGUGUUCCUCCAACAAUGCAGAUCUCAACCCAUCUAACUUUUCCAUCUUUUUCCAAAUCAUCCAUGUACCUGCCUGGGACUCCACCUAACAUGUUCUUCCAAUAUUAAAUGGAUAAUGAAGUACUUGGCUAUCCCUGGGUUAUUUAUCAUUCUUGUUCUGUGACUAAGUUACUUUCUUAUCUAGACAUUUUCCUUCUGACAUCCUAUUACUUAGGAAUUUAUUUUUCCUGGGAAAUGAUUCAGAUUUCCAUUGCUUAGUGUAUGUGUAAUACAUAGUGUUUAUGAUUUGCUCUUGGGCUUAACUCCAAGGGAUAAAAUGUAUCAUCUUAUCUCUUAGUGAACUUAUACUCUAAU